rnacentral:lncRNA from 1 species
AGCUCAACACCCCCCUCAAGUUGGAGGGGGAGACCACCUUCAACUUGGCCAAAAGACGAUAAUGAACAGUGCCAGGCAAACACUUGGUGAGAACAUCAGCCAACUGGUGAGAAGUGGAGACAUGAGAGAGAGAAAUCAGACCAUCAGUGAGCUUGGUACGAACAAAAUGACAGUCGACCUCAAUAUGCUUGGUCCGCUCAUGAAAAACUGGAUUCUUAGAAAUAUGCAGAGCAGCCUGGUUAUCACAAAAAAACAGAAAAAGGAAAGGAAACAGAAACACCAAGGUCAGUGAGCAAUCGAGAAAGCCAAGAUAAUUCAGCAACCACCUUACUGAGGGCCCUGUAUUCUGCUUCAGCAGAGGAUAAGGAGACCACUGGCUGUUUCUUGGACUUCCAACUGACAAGUCUGCCAUCCAAAAUCACACAGAAACCAGUAUACUGAGUGCCCUGUAUUCUGCCUCGGCAGAGGAUAAGGAGACCACUGGCUGCUUCUUGGACUUCCAACUGACCAGGCUACCACCCAAAAUCACACAGAAACCAGUAACAUAUCUGAGAGUGUCAGGGCAAGCUGCCCAGUCACUUUCUGAAAAGGCAUGCACUGAAAAUCAGGAGUGUCAGAAUAGAAGAGCCCCAAAUCCAUAGAGCCCUUACGAUACCUAAGAAUAUGCAGGGCAGCAGACAUGUGAGGGACUCUGGGAGCCUUCAAAAACUGACUCAGAUGUUGAUCAGCAAAACAAAUGUCAGGUCUGGUAUGUGUCAAGAAGAGGAGCUUGCCAACCAAGAUCCUGUAAUGUUCAGGAGAGGAGAAAAGAUCACCAGAAUCAGCAUGUAACUUGGUAUUAAGGUCCAAAUGACAUACAACAGGAGAGACAUCUACACAGUCAAAUUGAUGCAGCAAAUCAGAUACAAACUUGUGCUGAUUAAGAGACAUACCACAUGGGAGACAUCUACACAGUCAAACUAAUGCAGCAAAUCAGAUACAAACUUGUGCUGAUUAAGGAGCACACCACCAGCAACAGUAGACACCUCAAUGCCCAGAAUAUAAUGCAAAACCCAAGGUCUUUGAUCCCAAGAAGAGGAGCUUGCCAACCAAGCUCCUGUAAUGUUCAGGAGAGGAGAAAAGAUUACCAGAAUCAGCAAGUAACUUGGUAUUAAGGUCCAAAGGAUAUACCACAGGGGAGACAUCCACACAGUCAAAUUGAUGCAGCAAAUCAGAGACAAACUUGUGUUGAUUACGGAGCACACCACCAGCAACAGUAGAAACCUCAAUGCCCAGAAAAUAAUGGAAAGACCCAAGGUCUUUGAUCCUGAAUUGGUCAUCCAGGAAGUGCUUGAGGGCAGAAAGUUCAGCAACAUCAUCUCCAUUGAUAAUAAUGUCAUCCACAUACACUGC